rnacentral:rRNA from 1 species
GACGAACGCUGGCGGCGUGCCUAAUACAUGCAAGUAGAACGCACAGUUUAUACCGUAGCUUGCUACACCAUAAACUGUGAGUUGCGAACGGGUGAGUAACGCGUAGGUAACCUGCCUGGUAGCGGGGGAUAACUAUUGGAAACGAUAGCUAAUACCGCAUAAUAUUAAUUAUUGCAUGAUAAUUGAUUGAAAGCUGCAAUUGCAUCACUACCAGAUGGCCCUGCGUUGUAUUAGCUAGUAGGUGAGGUAACGGCUCACCUAGGCGACGAUACAUAGCCGACCGGAGAGGGUGAUCGGCCAGACUGGGACUGAGACACGGCCCAGACUCCUACGGGAGGCAGCAGGAGGGAAUCGGCGGCAAUGGACGAAAGUCUGACCGAGCAACGCCGCGGGAGUGAAGAAGGUUGUCGGAUCGUAAAGCUCUGUUGUAAGAGAAGAAAGGGUGUGAGAGUGGAAAGUUCACACUGUGACGGUAUCUUACCAGAAAGGGACGGCUAACUACGUG